rnacentral:lncRNA from 1 species
ACUACUAUGCGGCUUUAAAAAGGAAUGAGGAAGCUCUCUGUGUACUGAUGGGGACAGAAGUUCCAGGACAUUUUGUAAGGUGGCUGAAAAACAAGGUCUAUAAAAUGAUACAGGCAGUGGAAAUGGGUCACAGAGAAUUUACGGUUACAAUGUGAAAACGUCAACCCAACGCCAUGGUCUACUUCGUGCUUGGAAGCAAAGCCUGGCCUGGAUGCGCUUGGCCCCAGGAGGCUGCUGAGUGACAUGUCAAGCUGUCCUGAGAGCACACUUGUUUCCCAACCACCUGAGUCAUGACAAAUUGCUUGAGGCUUGUACCAGAGUAAAGUCUGAAAAUAGUUCUUCUCGCCCUCCCUACCAGACAGAUGCUUCCAGAAUCAAUCACCGAAUGGUGGAUCUACAGCCAACCACCCAUUCUCUUCAGUCACUGAGAUGAUAUGAUGCUGCUGGUCCAAGGACUACAUUUCGAGAACCCCAACCACGCAUGGAUUGUUGUCAACUAUGAAUCACAAGAUUUCCAGGGUUUUGUCUGCUGCCUUCCCUGCAAGCCCUGCCAUCCACUGAGACCCAACCUCAGCCAUUCUUGGCACAUCAGCCCAUGAGAAGUCUGCCACUCUUUCUUCCUAAGCAAAGCAGCAUCCUUCAGGGCCUGGAGCUCCUGGACACAAAAGCCAUUUUUGGGAGAAAAAUGUGGAUAAAGUCACUCCUGGGCCACCUGUCUGUGAGGCUGUAUGGAAGCUGCCUACUGGUUUGAGGAGAGGCUGCUGGGUUCUUUCCUUUACUAAGGAUUUGCUUAAGUCAGCCCUCCAGGAUCCAAAAAAGAGCCAGAAAAAAGCCAGCAAAACAGCUGAGGCACAGACUAGAUGGUAGUCCAAGGACCAAGACCUGGCCAGCCAGAGGGACCAGGUGUCCAGACCCCGGACUGUUUUCAAUACAGUUAUACAAUGAAAUCAAAUAAAUGGAUGUAUUGAUUGCUUGGCAA